rnacentral:tRNA from 2 species
AACGAGACAAUUUAGUUAACUCAUUUUCAGGUUACCUGGAUCCACAU